ensembl:lncRNA
AGGGGCCGUCAAGCGAGCGUCGCCACGAAGCCGGCCGCCGCCCCGGUGGCCUGCCACUCUGUGCAGGGCUCCUGGUGACAAACGACACUCACUCUGGGACAAAACGCCAGGCGAGCAUGUUCUGCGGUUGAUUUUGACGGGGCUGGAGUGACUGGUCCCUUCCGGGAGCUCACGUCUCCGUGCGGGGAGGGCCCGGAUUAAACCCGCGGCUCUGGAGGCGCAGCUCCUCGCGCCUCCGCGCCUGUCACUUGAAACGCAAGUAUUUGGCUUAAGCUUAUUUUUCCUCCUAAGCCGCCUGGCACAUACUCUGCCCCGAGAGCGGCUUUGCAAAGCAAAGAUGUUUAUUUCCAGGGUUGUGGGAAAGCUGUACCCCUCCCAGCGACCUGCUUACGUGAGAAGUUCAGGAAAGACACGCAGGGCCGGGUGGACGGGGCCGCUGCGGGUCUGACGCGCCCCAAAUGGCACCACAGGGCGACCCCCGAGUCCCCUCGCGUCCUGCACCCCCACGGCGCCCUCUUACCAUCCAAGGUAACCCCGGUUGGGUUAGGCGUGUGGAGCCGCAGGGCUGGGUCAGGUCUCAAUGGCCAGAGGGCCCAGCCCUAGGUCCCCUCCUUCCCCAGGGCAGGGCCACAGACCCAGGGCAGUGAGGUCCCUGUGCUACCUCUGGGCGCUUGGCUCAGGCACCUAGUCCGAGCCCCAGUCCCCUCUCUGCACAGGGAACGUGGACACCCCUGACUGGGCCUUGGGGUCACCGUGAGAGGCAAACAGCACCCAUGUUAUGUGAAAACGCCGUAGGGGCACAGGGAUGUUGCCACCCCAGGAACCAGCUGGGGGGGCGUGUGUCUGGGGGCAGCCUCCUCCUCUGAGUGUGUGUCUGCAGGACCGUGAGCUGUCCUGGCCUCGGACUGUGCCGUCCAGUAGGUUCUCGAGCAAAGGCCUGAAAGAAGAGCGAGGAGGGGCCCGGGGCCAGGGCAAGGGCUCUGCCACCCUCCGUUUGAAGACUGCCCACGCGGGCCUCUCCUUCAGCCCAGGUGACAAACCCACACACCACCCAGUGAUGCUGGCAGCUGGGGCCUUGCCACCUGGAGGGGCGGCUCCGGGGACCAGUCAGCUGGGCAGGGCCGGCAGAGCCGGCUCUCAGCAGAAAGCGUGGGGCGAGGCGGGCGUCCCAGGCAGCCUCUCUGACAGGGGCGCCUCCUCCUCUGCCCCGGAAGUGGCGGUGACUGUUCAGACCCCAGCCUGUCCCCUUCGUCUCUGCCCCGUCACCACCCGCAUUUCUGAGCUCCUUACAGAAUGGAAGUUCUGGGUCCUGGGGAGCUUGAGCCUGACGUGGGCCCGGAUCUUGGAAUACGCCCAGGAGGCUGGGAUGGGCAGUCAGCCCCACCAGGGAUGGGACCCCGCCUGUCAAGCAGUCCGUGGAGGAGAUAAAUUUAGCCUCCUUGGCAUAUGGAAGUCCCCAGGCUAGGGGUUGAAUCGGAGCUACAGCUGCUGGUCUACACCACAGCCACAGUAACACAGGAUCUGAGCCACACCUGUGCCCUACACCACAGCUCACGGCAACCCCAGAUCCUCAACCCACUGAGCGAGGCCAGGGAUCCAACCCACAUCCUCAUGGUUCCUAAUCAGCUUUGUUACCGCUGAGCCAAACAGGAACCCCAAGAGACUAAUGUUUUAAAUGAAAGAUGGAGCUGCAGGGGACACAGUUAAAAGGAGCUGCAGGGAGCUGGGCUGGGAGACGCUGGCCGGGUUAAAGCCAUUUCCGUGGGAAUGCACCCCUGUGCACGGAGCAGGCCCCCAAGUGGCAAGGAAGUUUCUGCAGUUAUGGUCUCUGCUGGCCCUGAGAGGGAGAGGUGAGCCUGAGGGAAGCUGUCCGUGCCCUGAUCCCUGGAGCUGAGUGUGACCCCGUGUGGGAAAGGGCGCUGCGGGCAGGGCCAAGGCCAAGGGCUGAGAAGAGGGACCAUCCUGGGUCAUCGGGUGGACCCUGCGCGGCCCGUGUCCUCAGAGGGAGCAGCCCAGGGGCUCUGACUGCAGGCAGGGGGCGUGGCGACCACAGGGAAGCAUAGACAAGGGCUGCCUUGGGUCAAGGACGGCUGGUAGCCGCGGGCCCUGGGAGCAGAGCGGCCCUGCCCACAGCUUCAUCUCCGUGGGAGAUCCCGGCUUUGGCCUCAGGCCUCCAGCGCGUGCGGUUUCACGUGGGAGCUGCAAACCACCCUCUGUGGGACGUCACCACGGCGGACCACGGGAGCGAGCCCGCCGCACCACGACGGAGGUGAGAGGUGGGCAGAGAGGUGAGGGUGCCCGGAGAAUGAGAGCCCAGCGCUCGGUUCAUCCCUGAAGAUGCCCAGCUGCUCAGACCGGAGGUCAGGCCGGGCCACGUGGACACUAGCCCACCUCGGCCGCUUGCUCAGGAAAUGCCGACGUGCUGCACUCUCUUUAAAGCACUGCUUCUGCUUAGCCAAGCCCCCCACGUCCAUGCCGCGCCCUGCCGGGUCCGGCUGAGCCUGUGCUGCGUGUGUCCCUCCCACCCAGCAGCCCACGGGCCACACAGGGAGGAAGCGUCUGCGGGGAGAGCAGGGCUUCCAGCAGCCUGCCCGGGGCCUCCAGCCCCACCCGCCCCGCCAGCCCAACGGGCUGGGGGUCCUCCUCCACUGUGGCCACCCUCGGGAGUCACAGGCCCUGACACGCACGUGCAGAGACCCCCCAGGAGCCCAGCCCAGGGCCAGGCCCCUUGAGGAGAGGAACUGUCGCCAGAUGUCCAGGAAGAGGUGACCUGCCUGAGACCAGCCGGGACGCACUGAUGGGGCCGCAGGGUGUGGUCCCCGCUGUGCGAGGCACAUUGCAGUGCACAAAGCAUCCUUCCCGGAAACUGAAGCUCAGCCCAAGAGCCGAACUUCACCAUGUCUUAGCCAAGUGUUGCAUUUCAAAUUGUAAUUAAAAUAUCAUUUAAAGUUUUCCGAAAUGUCCUGGAAUACAACUUGAGAAGCCACCGUGGGACCGGCUCACAGUGGGCAGUGGGCUGGAGGUGGAGACGGAGGUGCCGAGGCCUGGAGGCUGCCCUCUGGCAGGAAACUCGAGGCAACCGCGUGGGCAAAGGAACGAGGGGCAGCUCUCAGCAGAGACUUGGGCGGGAGGGCGCGGCCGCUGCAGGUUAUCAGCAGGUGGGGCCACUGGGGGCUCAGCCGGGCCUGCUGGAGGUGUGCCGGCCUCUCUGGGGCCUGGCCCUGCGUGGACCAGCAGGGCUUGGCCUGGGGGUGGCGGGCAGCAGGGCGCCAGACCAGCUGGCUGGGGUGCCGGGAGGAGGGGGUUUGCAGAUGAGCCUGUGCCUGUGCCAUGUCCUGGGAGCGCGUUUUCUCUAUUCCGUCAAGGGCUAACACCCCUCAGGAGUGUACGUGUGGCCUCUCACCUGGGGACACUCACCGUGGUGAGGUGACAGCAGGAGAGGCUGUUAGAGCCCACGACACUCUCUCUGUUGCCCUGAGAGACCCUUGAGGAGCUGGCACCCGUGGAGGCGUGAGACGGAGCUGUCCUCCUGGGGUCACCUAACCUCCGCGGAUGCCUGGCAAGUGCACACGCAGGGCGUGGUGACCUCCGGGCUGUGGAGCCACCGUGUCCUUCAGGACUCACUGCACCCACAGCCCCUCUGUGGCCCCGACAUCCCCUGGGAGGCGGGCAGCCCACCACGCCUGGUGCCACCUCCCACCCCGGCGUGGCCACGCUUGGGGGCUGCGCUCUGGCCUCAGUCCCCGUCCGUGCUCCGUCCCUCCCGCCCCACGGGCCCCCCCUGCUCCGCUGCUCGCUGCCGCGGGUUGUUUCCCGCUUCCGAGGGGGUCGGUGUCCACACGUGUGCGCCUCUCGGGGACGCAGGCCGGGUCCAUGCUGCCGGCCGAGAGGCUCUCCCUAAGGAGGUCCCAAGGCUUCCAGGGCCGUGUGGCCUCGUGUGGCCUUGUCACUUCACCAUCGAGCGCUGGGGUCUCACAGACCUGCGCUCGGCUUCCCUUUGACCUGCUCUCUGCCCUGUGAGCGUCCUCUCUGGGGAGUGACGGUCACCGCAGCUGAGAUUUUCCUUCUCGGUUUGCGGGACAGGCCGGGCUGAGGCCCUGCGGUUGGCGUGCUCCGCCCACUUUCUUAGCGGCGCCUUUGAAAUAACCGAAGACGCUGGUUUCACGGGAGCCCAACAUAUCCACCUAUCCCGGGCCACAUCGCACACCGUGUCCGGAUCGACCCCAACUGCCUCUGUCACCUCUGAUCUCUGCACGUGGCCCUCUGGUUUGGGUAAGUGUCCCGCUGAGGGCAGGGUCUAGGGACACCCAGGGAAACGCAGCAUCACAGGGAGACAGGGAGGGGUCUACGGCCACGCCAGGUGCCCAGGCCAGCCUCAGGCCCCAGACUGUUCUUUUUCUUACAGGUAUACUACUAUUUUUAUUAACACUAUUUUUAUUAAAUUCACUGACAAUGCUAAAUUCUAGAACUUUAAGGGUAUAAUGUGAAACAGCAUCACAAAAUUUAAGGGAUAGUGCAACUACCUCUAUACAUAAUAUGGGGACAAGCCCCGCAGGCUAAACGCUCAGGACUCGGCUCCUUGGUUGCUGACCUCAGACAAGGCACCAAGCAGUCUUGUCCGUUUACGAAAAACUGCAGGACCAGCAGUAACAGGAUUGGGAAGAACCGAUUCAAGAUCGUGGGGCCAGGCUGAGCCCGGUUGGCUGGGGGCUGUUGCAGCUCAAGUCCAGGACAGUCCCAGCGGCGGAAGGAAGCCACUUGACAUGGUGGGUUCUGCCUCUGGGGCCUCUUGCGGAGGCCAGCGGCUUCACCCAAUAUGUUUCCUGCCUCCCAUGCCAUCCCAGGCACCAGUUCUGCCAGUCGUUUGGCAAAUCCCCCCAUGUGGACCACGCAACAGGCACCCGCCUUCAGGAAAACACUCCCAGCCACGGAACGAGCUCUGCUCGCCAAAGGAUUGGGCAUGUGCCAUGGCAGCACCCCCUCCCCUCUGGGAGGCCACUUCCGUGCCAGUCAGCUUUGCAGCACAACAAACUGCCUCAAGACGGAGCGCUUAAGGCACCCUCCUCUCACUCAGCCUGNNNNNNNNNNNNNNNNNNNNNNNNNNNNNNNNNNNNNNNNNNNNNNNNNNNNNNNNNNNNNNNNNNNNNNNNNNNNNNNNNNACCCCCCCCCCACGCGUUGUGGUUUCAACCCUGCAUGUGCUUUAAUCCCAUGAGAAGGCACCACGGCUGCUUCAUGCUCCAGGGUCACUGGGUUCUCCCGAAUCUUUCCUCUUCCUUGUCCUCGGCCUCCUGGACCCGGAAACCCACCUGGGCUCGUGGUCCUUCCGUGGCCGGGUACAGGGGAUGAGCUUGAUCUGCUCUUCGGGGGGUUAUGGAAAUCCUCUCUUUUACUUUCAUAUUUUCUUGGUCCCUGGUUUUCACUUCUUUCUUUCGAUGUUCUCAGGGGAGGCUUUCUUCCCACUCUCCUCCCUGGUGGUUCUGUGCUUCUUGGAUCUGGAGUUUGAUAUCUUUCAUCGACUUUAGGAAAUUAUCAGCCUUUAGCUCUUUAAGUGUUUCUUUGGAUUUGCUCUCUUUCUUCCCAUCUAGGACUUGAAAUUCCAGCUUGUGAGACUCCCACUGCACCCCUAGGAUUUGCUCUCUCUUACACCUUCCAGUCUUCAUUUCCCUGCCUCACUUGGCUGCCCUCCAGAGCCGGUGUCCAUGACGGGAAUGAAGUUUCAUUAGAGCUGCACCGUAGGACCUGCGAAUGCCGCCCAGAACCCAGAUCGAAUACGCAAAUGCAGAGAGGGCUCCGCUCUGCGCCCUGAGCAGCCCGGGUCCCUGGGGGCCUGGCCGUCCGCUUCCCACAUUCACACCGAAGGUCCUGGGCCGGCGCUUCGGAGACGCCCGUGGGAGCCUGUCCUGGUGGAUGAGGAGCAAAGCAUCCCUCCUGAGAGCAGCGGGUCAGGCACAGGGACCCCGACUGGAGCCAUGACUCUGGCUCCCUGGAAAACCACGCAGAGCACCCAGCCGCCGAGGGAGCACCCACACGCGGCUGUGCAGGCUGAUUGACACCUGUCUUCCCUGGGGUUUCAGGAAACAGCCUCUGUCUGACUGAGUUGGGAUCACUUCCCGGCUUACUUAAAAUUUGAUGCCUGAGAAG